CUCACAUUCUGAAGAACACUCAUUUGUUGAACAUGGUAGCCACAGUUAUUAGUGGUAUUUCUGUUUUUGAAGUGAAAUACCAGUGACGAAUACUAUUCCAAUACAAAAAAGUAAAUGUGCUAGGAAAUCGCAUAUUUUUUAUAGCCGUUGUAACUACUUUAUUUUUUUCUAGUCAUAUCGAUAUUGUAAGAACAAUCAGAAAAUCAAAAUUAAAAUAUCUUUUAUGAAUAUGUAAUAUGUAUCUUUUAUUAUACUGUGAAUUAUGAAACAAAAUAAAAUAUAUACGAAAGACAUGUUUUUAAAA